CGGCACGCCUAACACAUGCAAGUCGAACGAAGUAGCAAUACUUAGUGGCAGACGGGUGAGUAACAUGUAGGUAUCUGCCCUUUGGCCUGGAAUAACACGAGGAAACUUGUGCUAAUACCGGAUAAGUCUUUACGGAGAAAGCUUUAUGCACCAUUGGAUGAGCCUGCACUUGAUUAGUUUGUUGGUGGGGUAACGGCCUACCAAGACUACGAUCUAUAGCUGGUCUGAGAGGAUGAUCAGCCACACUGGGACUGAGACACGGCCCAGACUCCUACGGGAGGCAGCAGUGGGGAAUAUUGGACAAUGGGGGCAACCCUGAUCCAGCGAUGCCGCGUGAGUGAUGAAGGCCUUAGGGUUGUAAAACUCUUUCGUCAGGGAAGAUAAUGACGGUACCUGAAGAAGAAGAUCCGG
rnacentral:rRNA from 1 species